GGGCCGGUAACUCAGUGGUAGAGGUUAGUACGCUCUUUACCCUUUUCUGGUCGCUAGUACUAACCCCUUCAAAGUGUAGGAUUGCAGUUUCUAUGACCGUUCAUCCCGAAGUCACCGGUUCGACUCCGGUUCGGCCCU